rnacentral:rRNA from 1 species
AUUGAACGCUGGCGGUAUGCUUAACACAUGCAAGUCGAACGGUAACAGCAGAGCUUGCUCUGGCUGACGAGUGGCGGACGGGUGAGUAACGCGUAGGAAUCUGCCUAGUAGUGGGGGACAACAUGGAGAAAUCCGUGCUAAUACCGCAUACGCCCUACGGGGGAAAGAUGGCCUCUUCUUGAAAGCUAUCACUAUUAGAUGAGCCUGCGUCGGAUUAGCUUGUUGGUGAGGUAAUGGCUCACCAAGGCAUCGAUCCGUAGCUGGUCUGAGAGGACGAUCAGCCACACUGGGACUGAGACACGGCCCAGACUCCUACGGGAGGCAGCAGUGGGGAAUAUUGGACAAUGGGCGCAAGCCUGAUCCAGCAAUACCGCGUGUGUGAAGAAGGCCUGCGGGUUGUAAAGCACUUUCAAUUGUGAAGAAAAGCCUGGUGCUAAUAUCACCGGGUCUUGACGUUAACUUUAGAAGAAGCACCGGCUAACUCCGUG